rnacentral:rRNA from 1 species
GACAGAGGUGCCGAGCGUUAGGCGGAAUCACUGGGCUUAAAGCGUGUGUAGGCGGGUCGUUAAGUGUCUUGUGAAAUCCCACCGCUCAACGGUGGAACUGCUGGGCAUACUGGCGAUCUUGAGCCACCUAGGGGCAGACGGAACAAGCGGUGGAGCGGUGAAAUGCGCAGAUAUCGGGAGGAACACCAAUGGCGAAGGCAGCUCGCUGGGACGGUACUGACGCUGAGGUGCGAAAGCGUGGGGAGCAAACAGG